rnacentral:sRNA from 1 species
UUCAUUGAACAAUUCGAAGAGUUAUUAUGAAAAUAUUUAUUUAAAUAUUUUUAAACAAAUAAUAACGUCAAACUUGUUCAUAUAACAAAUGUAUAUACGGUGGCUUUUUAAAUUUUUUAUUUUAAAAGUGUCAAUCCAUAUAUAUCACAGCAUC